rfam:Photobacterium profundum SS9; segment 2/12
GGUGUCGGCUGAAUCAGAGAUUGGCGACACAAAUUAAAAACAUCUAGUAUUAGGAAGAGUUAUGUCUCUGAAUGCAGAAACUAAAGCAGCUAUCGUUGCUGAAUACGCACAAUGCGAA